rnacentral:misc_RNA from 1 species
AUACAAGCGGCGAAGAGCGCGUCAUGUACGAGGGCCGCGUCGUGUACGAUGUGGCACCUUCCUAUCAGCUGUCAUUGAAGACGCAGUGUGGCACCCGUGGCUGUGUCUGCUGUGUCGCAGGUGUCUGCUGUGUCGCAGAGGAGACUGCAAUGGAUUGCUGCCAUGAAGAGUAGCUGCUGAAUGAUGGAAGCAGGCAUUGUUGCACUGCUCACAUCACUUCAUUUACUUGUGACAGAGCAUUAACUUGUGCCUUCAGCUAAGAAUAUACAGUAUAUUAUCUGGCCACCACGCCUUCUGAUAGUACUUCAGUGCAAUAAUUUACAGGAGCCCUCACGAUAACAUCACAUGCAUGGAGUGUGAAGGCUGCAAUAACGAGUAUGACCAAGAAGAGCGAAGGCCACGCACUCUUCCCUGUGGCCAUACCUUUUGCUCCAGCUGCAUUGGUGCCAUUUUGAAGGAUAAUAAAGUUUUCUGUCACGCAUGUCAAACAGAACACUAUGCGGUUGCUGUGGUACAGUUCCCACUUAAUUAUAACGUGGAGGCCAACAUAAGAGCAACAAUGAUGGAUGUUGAUGCCCCACCAGGACCUACCCCAGCAAAACGUCCAGCAGUGUCACCAGGACCAGGAGGAUCCAACCAAGGGCAGCAGCAGGGCUUAAGCAAAGAAUUAUUAGCUCUGAAAACAGAGAAAAUGAAAGCCCUGGCUUGUGCUGAAAUUAAAGUACAAGCCACAUUGAAUGGUCUGGGUCAGUAUGCAAGGCAGGUAGCAAAAAUGAAGGAGGAACAUAUGAAGCUAAUGACCCAGCUUGAGGAUUUAGCAAUGUUCCACCAAGAAAGAAUACGAGU